UUUUUUUGCAAAUAUAGGCAUAUCAUAUAAACAUCACCUAUAAAAGGUCAUCAAGUCAUAAAAUAUAAAGGUGCGUGUGUUCCAAGACACUACAUCAUCAAAACAUCAUAAACAAAUCUCUAAAUAAAUCUUAAGGAUCUCACUAAAGAAAUAAAUACAAUACAGAUCCCUAGUCAUAUCUAAACUCUAAGUUGGUUCCCACUAAGACAAAGCAUAAAUAAAUGACCGAGGGUCGAAUCUCGCCUCUAAGCCCACCACCAAGUUCGCAUCAAUCAUGAGUGACAUGCUCCGUAGAAGCUACAUCAUAAUCUGCUCUUGUGUCAAAUGACACGAUCAUCACAGUUCAACAGAAAAUGAAAAGGUAAGCUCAUAUUAAAAGAAACAUCAUAUAAUUGAAAACAACAUAAGAUCACCAUUUCAAAAGAUAUAUAGAAAAUUCUUCACAUUUUUUAUGACAAUAUAAUUAUACAACACAUCAAGUAGCACAUCAUUCUUAAGUCACAAUUAUUGGUGCACAUAUCUAAUUAUUAUGUUAUGUCAUGCUGACUCUUUACUCCAAGGAGAUUUUCACCUUUUGAGAAGUUAACUCAAGUUCAUCCCUUAACAUAGUCACACCUUAACCAUUUGGGAAAAUUUGAAUAUAAUUAACCUUACGAAGGAAGUGUGAUUUUAUCAAAAAAGGAUGAGUGUAGGCAGUAACUUACCUUGAUAAGGCUUGCAAAGACCAUAACCUAUCUAGAGAUUUGCCCAUCCCAUUCAUCUAUAGGCUCAUUCCCAAUAAGCACCACUGACAACCUUCAGCACUAGGUUAAAGGCUCACCAAGCACCCUCAGCUUGCGUGCCUACUCACAUGCAAUGUCAUUCAUCAAUGCAUGUAUGUUUUGAUUAAACAUUAUAUCACAUCAUCAUUAUAUUCAUUCAUCAUCAUCAAUAUAAUUCCUUACAUCAACAAAUCAAUUAAUUUUAUAUCAAUUCAAUCCAUCAUGCACAUCUCAUUCAACAUAUCCUCAAUUCAUAAUCCAUAUCUUGUCAAAUUCCACAUCAAGUCAUCAUUCAUAUCAUUCUCACUAUCCAUAAACUCUCACAUAGUUCAUCUACACCUCAUGAGACUUUUCACACCUCAUGAUCAAUCUCCAAAUCUCAAUAUAUGAAUGUGAAUUGCAUGAAAAAUAACAAGAAACCACCUCAAUCCAUUUUAUUUUAAAAUUCAACAACACGUCAAAGCAUUUAAGAUUGAAGUUCAAUUGAAAUGCAUGAAAGAAAAUUUGACAAACACUCAUGCUUAAGCGUGACAAAUUUUGUGCUUAACUGUGGCCCAUUUUUUUCCUUCUGGCAACUCGCGCUUAAGCACAACCAAGGGUGUGCUAAAGCACCAAUUCCAGUGGCCAACUCCCCAUCACCCUUAAGCACCACUCUAGGUGUGCUUAAGCGCGAUUGACCUACAUGUUUGCAUUUUUACUGUCAAAUCUCCUCGAAUGGACCCCAACUUGAAUUUCAACUCAAACCUUUCAAUGUUCCACAUAAACAACAAAGUAAGACACAUUUUUAACAACUCAAAACAAUAAUUAAACACAAAAUAUAGGAUUUUAAAGAUGGGUAAAGCUUCCCUUACCUAUUCAAACUCAAAAUGUGAUCUUGUGGAGAAUGGAAGAAAGAAGUGAACUUUAAGUCCAAAGGAAGAGCUUUUCUUCACUUUCACAGCAGCUACACACUAUGGGUGUAUCAACAAACCCGAAAGCCAGCCAAAAAAAAUUAGAAACCCUAAAACCUAAGCUUUUUCCAUGAAAGUUCAUGGGUGCUCUAAGAAAAUGAAAAUGAACUCAGAGAGGAAGAGGGGGAGAUUACCUCACAUAAAGAUAGUCAACAAAACAAUAAAGGAAAGAGAAAGGAGCUCCCUUUUUGCACAACACCAAAGCUCAAGGUUUCUCUAAUGGUGGGUUUCUUGGAGAAGGGGAAGUGAGUGGAAAGGAAAGGUUUCUUUUGAGAGAAGUUUUUGAAAUGUGGGGGAUUUUGAGAGGUUUUGACCCUCUUGAUGAUUCUCUC
rnacentral:lncRNA from 1 species